rnacentral:lncRNA from 13 species
UCAGAUUUGGGAAUCGAGACUUUCUUGGACUCUAUGCUUUUACUGUUAAUCUGCACAGUUUGGUAAAGGGAUCAUCUCCUCUGCUCCUUCUCUACCUCAUUCACAGUCUCUAUUUUACUUGUUAAUCCUCUCCAACUCCAAAAGGCAAGGGUCUUUGUCCUCAUUGACCUGUGGGGCUGUAACGAUCUUCGUCUUCAUCGGAUGAGGAGUAGGUAAGUAAGUGUCCAUGAUUAUUUAUUAUACCAGAACAAGAAAAUACAAAAUAACAAAAUGAAUGUAAGAAAUGAAAAUCGAAACAGUCCUGAAAGGUGAAAACAGGAAACAACUACCCACAAACACCAGGUGGGAAAAGGCUACCUAAGUAUGGUUCUCAAUCAGAGAUAACGAUAAACAGCUGCCUCUGAUUGUUAACCAUACCAGGCCAAACACAUAGAAAUAGAAAACAUAGAACACAAAACAUAGAAUGCCCACCCCAACUCACGCCCUGACCAAACUAAAAUAGAGACAUAAAAAGGAACUAAGGUCAGGACGUGACAGCUACAUCCGCAAUAACAUCUGCUAAAUAUGUGUAUGCGACCAAUAAAAUUAGAUUUUAUGGAAUAACUCUCACCUGUCUCUGUGUUUUCCCCCAUUCAGAGUCGCUGAUGUCAUUCUGUCCAUUUAGUAAAAUGUCUGGGAUAUGUUAAGAAUUUCAUGGACAUCACAGAGAUGGUUGAGAGGCGGAUGGAACUGACUCCAGAGUCUGCUCGCUAUUCAUCAUGACACCUCAGAUGCCAAAGUCAUGGACCACCCUGGACUGGGUUGUGGUGGGCUCACACAUCACAGCGGAACUGAGAACAGCCAUCCAAAGCAAGCUGGGCCUCACUGGUGUCAGGCACCUUCAAGCCAAAUCAACAAACCACACUUUUGCCAGAGAGUGUCAGAGAAAUCAUGGGUAGUCUAAGUGGUUUAGAUAAAGUACCAGGUUUAGAUGUACGUUUUAUAUCUAACUUGACUCAAUUUAAUGUAUCCAAAUCACUACAUGAAGUUUUUGUAUUUAUUAUUUGUAUUUAUUAUUUGUAUUUAUUAUUUGUAUUUAUUAUUAUUUAUUAUCCCCAUUAGGGCUCUAGCAAAAUGAAGGCAGUUAUACAUUUGACUGACAUUACAGUCACAACAGAUUUCACAACAUAUUAAGUGUGUAGAGUAGAGCUUAUUGAUGCUCAAUGUAACCCAUUGCAGUUAUCGCCUCUGUAGCUGUUGUCAAGCCGUUCAGGUCUUUACCUUAACCCAUUCUGGCCGAUUUCGGGAGUUAGUUUAGUGUAUUUGGAUAGGAACAAGCACAAACACAUUGAACAAACAAUUGUCCUAUGCAUUGCCCUGUAGUGUUUCCUAACUCACGCUCAUUUUCAACACCUAUCCCUAGUUGCUUGAAUGGAAGCCAAAGCUAAGAAACAAGUGCAUAAUCAAUGUUUAAAAUAAUAAUCACAUAAAAAAAACAUAUCUGUACAUUAUCAUAAUUAUAUCACAAAGCAGAUGUCAGUCAACAAUUAGACGCACAAAGCAAAUCUCAUACAUCCAGCAUAUACCCCUAAUAUUUAUAACUUGGAUGUACAGUGCUCUUAAUGGAAGCACUUCAUACAGUUCAUACAUGAUUGCAAUAUUGGAGCUGUAGCAACCAGUUGUUGUUGUUUCUUUUGAAUGUCUUGACAUGUUCCAGC